AAGUCGAACGGUAACAUUUCUAGCUUGCUAGAAGAUGACGAGUGGCGGACGGGUGAGUAAUGCUUGGGAACUUGCCUUUGCGAGGGGGAUAACAGUUGGAAACGACUGCUAAUACCGCAUAAUGUCUACGGACCAAACGGGGCUUAGGCUCCGGCGCAAAGAGAGGCCCAAGUGAGAUUAGCUAGUUGGUAAGGUAAUGGCUUACCAAGGCAACGAUCUCUAGCUGUUCUGAGAGGAAGAUCAGCCACACUGGAACUGAGACACGGUCCAGACUCCUACGGGAGGCAGCAGUGGGGAAUAUUGCACAAUGGGGGAAACCCUGAUGCAGCCAUGCCGCGUGCGUGAAGAAGGCCUUCGGGUUGUAAAGCACUUUCAGUUGUGAGGAAAAGUUAGUAGUUAAUACCUGCUAGCCGUGACGUUAACAACAGAAGAAGCACCGGCUAACUCCGUGCCAGCAGCCGCGGUAAUACGGAGGGUGCGAGCGUUAAUCGGAAUUACUGGGCGUAAAGCGCACGCAGGCGGUUUGUUAAGCUAGAUGUGAAAGCCCCGGGCUCAACCUGGGAUAGUCAUUUAGAACUGGCAGACUAGAGUCUUGGAGAGGGGAGUGGAAUUCCAGGUGUAGCGGUGAAAUGCGUAGAUAUCUGGAGGAACAUCAGUGGCGAAGGCGACUCCCUGGCCAAAGACUGACGCUCAUGUGCGAAAGUGUGGGUAGCGAACAGGAUU
rnacentral:rRNA from 1 species